UCAUUAAAAUUGAGUAUUUGUUGAUGAAUUUGAUUAAAUAUGACUUAAUCCUAUGUAUAUAUUGUGUGUAGGUUACAAUCAAUGGAAGAUACGAGAAUAAAGAAAAUAAGUGGAAAAAUGACUCAAUUACAUCAAGGGCAAAGUUUGGGNCUAUUAAUUUGCUUAUUUAGAUUGUAUUCGGGUGGAAUAAUGAUAAAGAAAGUGGAAGGGAGAAAAGAAUUUACAAAAAGUGUGAUUCCUGAAAAAUGGAUUAAUUAUUGAUUCAAAGAGGGGAGUUGAACUAGAUAUAUGUAUUUGAAUGGUUCUAAGCCAACUCUUGUAGAUGUUUUGACGAUUGAUUCUCAAAUUCGAUUGAAUCUAAGAUGAAUACUUGGUUUACGUUACGGAAGAAAGACAUGUAUAUGUGAUAUUAGAUAUUGACUAGUUAUAUAUAAACUAAAGAUAUAUUUCAUUUUCCCUACUACAGUAUGUGGAUUCCAAUAGAAGUCCUUCCAUCUCGUUGUGACUUUGAAUUGACUGAAUAAGGGGAUUGAUAAGUGUAUUUUAUACACUUAUUUAGGCCAUUAAAAUUGAGUAUUUGUUGAUGAAUUUGAUGAAAUAUGGCUUAAUCCUAUGUAUAUAUUGUGU
rnacentral:lncRNA from 1 species